rnacentral:rRNA from 1 species
UACGUAGGGGGCUAGCGUUGUCCGGAAUCAUUGGGCGUAAAGAGCGUGUAGGCGGCCCGGUAAGUCCGCUGUAAAAGUCAAAGGCUCAACCUUUGAAUGUCAGCGGAUACUGCCGGGCUAGAGUCCGGAAGAGGCGAGUGGAAUUCCUGGUGUAGCGGUGGAAUGCGCAGAUAUCAGGAGGAACACCAACGGCGAAGGCAGCUCGCUGGGACGGUACUGACGCUGAGGCGCGAAAGCGUGGGGAGCGAACAGG